rnacentral:rRNA from 1 species
GAUGAACGCUGGCGGCGUGCCUAAUACAUGCAAGUCGAGCGAACAGACGAGGAGCUUGCUCCUUUGACGUUAGCGGCGGACGGGUGAGUAACACGUGGGUAACCUACCUAUAAGACUGGGAUAACUUCGGGAAGCCGGAGCUAAUACCGGAUAAUAUUUCGAACCGCAUGGUUCGAUAGUGAAAGAUGGCUUUGCUAUCACUUAUAGAUGGACCUGCGCCGUAUUAGCUAGUUGGUAAGGUAACGGCUUACCAAGGCAACGAUACGUAGCCGACCUGAGAGGGUGAUCGGCCACACUGGAACUGAGACACGGUCCAGACUCCUACGGGAGGCAGCAGUAGGGAAUCUUCCGCAAUGGGCGAAAGCCUGACGGAGCAACGCCGCGUGAGUGAUGAAGGUCUUCGGAUCGUAAAACUCUGUUAUUAGGGAAGAACAAACGUGUAAGUAACUGUGCACGUCUUGACGGCACCUAAUCAGAAAGCCACGGCUAACUACGUG